rnacentral:rRNA from 1 species
UACGUAGGGUGCGAGCGUUAAUCGGAAUUACUGGGCGUAAAGCGUGCGCAGGCGGUGAUGUAAGACAGGUGUGAAAUCCCCGGGCUUAACCUGGGGAACUGCAUUUGUGACUGCAUCGCUGGAGUGCGGCAGAGGGGGAUGGAAUUCCGCGUGCAGCAGUGAAAUGCGUAGAUAUGCGGAGGAACACCGAUGGCGAAGGCACUUUACUGGGCUAUUACUAACACUCAGAGACGAAAGCUAGGGUAGCAAAUGGG